rnacentral:tRNA from 1 species
GCCCGGCCGGCUCAGUCGGUGGAGCACGGGACUCUCGAUCUCGGGGUUGUGAGUUUGAGCCCCACGCUGGGUG